rnacentral:rRNA from 1 species
UACGUAGGGUCCGAGCGUUGUCCGGAGUUACUGGGCGUAAAGCGCGCGCAGGCGGCGGUGUUGGCCCGGCGUGAAAGCCCCCGGCUCAACCGGGGAGAGUCGUCGGGGACCGCACCGCUUGAGGGCGGUAGGGGCUGGUGGAAUGCCUGGUGUAGCGGUGGAAUGCGUAGAGAUCCGGAAGAACACCGGUGGCGAAGGCGGUCUGCUGGGGUAAUGCUGACACUGAUGCGCGACAGCGUGGGGAGCAAACAGG